UCGCUCAUCUCCGGUGCAUUUGAAAAUGGAAUUGCGUAGUUCAUAAAUUGUAGGUUGGUAACAACCCAAUUUGUUUGGAAUGGUUCUUUAUUGACUUGUCUGUCAUUUAUCAUAAGCGUUCCAGAAUUCUUCCUUCCUUGAAAAACACUGAGCUGCCAUUAGCUUUAGAUCGGUUUACAGGAUCAGUUUAGGUCUUGACGUUCGUGAGAGACUGUGAGGUAUUAUCCUGCAGCGUUUACGCACUAUAAUAGAAAUGGCUGUUGCCGAAGAAGUCCUCAUAGGACUAGUUGGCGCAGUGUGCUUGCUCGGGCUGCUUUGGUUUUGCCGUUGGUACUGUAGAAGAGUCUGUAAUAUUAUAAUACCAGAUUUGAGUUUCGAAAGGUCAAUAAAUUAAUCCAGAUGCAACCGCUUUGCCAUGCAACACGUUACGGCGUUAUCCUGCUUAACACUAGACCAUUACCAACUUAUGUGGCACAGAGUUUGUGCCAUCGACUACAUUUUUUGCAGUUAACCAUGACCUACGUUUAUUUUAACUCCGAGGACAGAGUGAAUUCUGGUUUUUUUAACAUUGACUAGGUCAGUUGCCAAAUUCGUAAUCACAUUUCUUGUGCACAGUAGUUUCAACUGCUGCUCUUAUUUUAUCCUUCUUUGACAUUAGCUUUCCUAAGGCUCUUGUUUUAAAUAGGUUUUAAAGAAUCUUGCGUUAUUCAAAGUAUUGUAUACCUUUUCGUCAUAAACAGCUAAGGCUUAUAAAUCAAA